ACCACCGGGAUGAUGGACUUCAUGAUCAGC
rnacentral:piRNA from 1 species